UGGAUUAGCGGCGGACGGGUGAGUAACACGUGAGUAACCUGCCUUAGACAUUGGGAUAGCCUCGGGAAACCGGGAUUAAUACCAAAUAAAAUCAUAAUGACACAUGUCAUAACGAUCAAAACUCCGGUGGUCUAAGAUGGACUCGCGUCCCAUUAGCUAGUUGGUAGAGUAAAAGCCUACCAAGGCGACGAUGGGUAGCCGGCCUGAGAGGGUGAACGGCCACAUUGGAACUGAGAAACGGUCCAAACUCC
rnacentral:rRNA from 1 species